GUUUGCCACAGUCCUGGGCCACCGAUUAUUCCUUGUUGAUUCUCCUGCUGUUUUCAGUUUGGAAAUUUUCUAUCAUUGAAAAAGAUGUGGGUUUUAUAUAAAGGCAGAACAAAUAGUGCCAAAACUUGAUAUCACAAUUUUUAUGUAGUUGAUUUCAUGUGCUUUGGGCAGCAUUAAUGUUUUUUUUGACAGUUACAUCCUCUCAUAGUUUGCCCUCCCCCAUGUCUCUCUUUCCUGUGAUCCUCUCUCUAAUCUCCUUUUCACCAGCAGGGGAAGUCUUCAUUCUCUUUAUUGUGUCCUCUGUGCCACAAGUGAAGAUGUUUGUUUUGUUUCUCAACAGGGAGGAGGAUGUGCGAGUGGCUAAUUUGAAACCAAGAAUCUCCUUUAAUUUCUUUGUCACUGCACCUAAAAAUGUGUCUGACAUCAUUCCUAGAACUGAAGUUGAAAAGGCCAUCAGGAAGUCCCGGAGCCGUAUCAAUGAUGCUUUCCGUCUGAAUGACAACAGCCUGGAGUUUCUGGGGAUACAGCCAACACUUGGACCUCCUAACCAGCCCCCUGUUUCCAUAUGGCUGAUUGUUUUUGGAGUUGUGAUGGGAGUGAUAGUGGUUGGCAUUGUCAUCCUGAUCUUCACUGGGAUCAGAGAUCGAAAGAAGAAAAAUAAAGCAAGAAGUGAAGAAAAUCCUUAUGCCUCCGUCGAUACUAGCAAAGGAGAAAAUAAUCCAGGAUUCCAAAACACUGAUGAUGUUCAGACUUCCUUUUAGAAAAAUCUAUGUUUUUCCUCUUGAG
rnacentral:sRNA from 1 species